rnacentral:rRNA from 1 species
ACAUUAGGCCUAAGGAUGAGUCGGCGGUCGAUUAGGUUGUUGGUGAGGUAAUGGCUCACCAAGCCUAUGAUCGAUAGGGGCCUUGAGAGAGGUAACCUCGAGAAGGGCACUGAGAUACUGGCCCUAGCCCUACGGGGUGCAGCAGGCGCGGAAACUUUACAAUGCACGAAAGUGUGAUAAGGGAAUCCCAAGUGCCUUACUUUUAGUAAGGCUUUUGCCAUGUGUAAAAAGCAUGGCGAAUAAGUGGUGGGUAAGACUUGUGCCAGCCGCCGCGGUAACACCAGCGCCACAAGUGGCAACCGCUUUUAUUGGGCCUAAAGCGUCCGUAGCCGGUUCAGUAAAUUUUCUGUGAAAUCGUUGGGCUUAACCUAACGUCGUGCAGGAAACACUGCUGAACUAGGGACCGGGAGGCGUCAGAGGUAUUCCUGAGGGAGCGGUAAAAUGCUAUAAUCUCAGGAGGACCCCCUGUGGCGAAAGCGUCUGACGAGAACGGAUCCGACGGUGAGGGACGAAAGCUAGGGGAGCAAAC